rnacentral:lncRNA from 1 species
GCAUUGAAAAAUGACUAUUUCCUAUGGGUAAAAGGAAGUGUUGGAAUAGUCUAUUUUCAAUGGGUAAUAGGGAGCAUUGGGACAUUCUUAUAUCCAGCAGGUAAAGCUAGGUAUUGGAAAAUGAUUAUUUCUUAUGGGUAAAAGGAAGUGCUUGGAAAAUAUCUCAUUUGCUCACCAAUAUUGGAGAACUCCAAGUAAUGGGCUUGGACUUUGGUACUCCCAAGUAGCUAGCCCAAAGCCUCCAUUAUCCAAGAGCUUCCGUGGGCCUUGUGGACCUCCAUAACCUUCCACACCACAAUCCCUCGUGCAAG